AUUGAACGCUGGCGGCAGGCUUAACACAUGCAAGUCGAGCGGGGUGAUGGUGCUUGCACUAUCACUUAGCGGCGGACGGGUGAGUAAUGCUUAGGAAUCUGCCUAUUAGUGGGGGACAACAUCUCGAAAGGGAUGCUAAUACCGCAUACGUCCUACGGGAGAAAGCAGGGGAUCACUUGUGACCUUGCGCUAAUAGAUGAGCCUAAGUCGGAUUAGCUAGUUGGUGGGGUAAAGGCCUACCAAGGCGACGAUCUGGAGCGGGUCUGAGAGGAUGAUCCGCCACACUGGGACUGAGACACGGCCCAGACUCCUACGGGAGGCAGCAGUGGGGAAUAUUGGACAAUGGGGGGAACCCUGAUCCAGCCGUGCCGCGUGUGUGAAGAAGGCCUUAUGGUUGUAAAGCACUUUAAGCGAGGAGGAGGCUCUUUUGGUUAAUACCCAAGAUGAGUGGACGUUACUCGCAGAAUAAGCACCGGCUAACUCUGUGCCAGCCGCCGCGGUAA
rnacentral:rRNA from 1 species